rnacentral:rRNA from 1 species
GAUGAACGCUAGCUACAGGCUUAACACAUGCAAGUCGAGGGGAAACGGCAUUUAGUGCUUGCACCGAAUGGACGUCGACCGGCGCACGGGUGAGUAACGCGUAUCCAACCUACCCAUUACUGUGGGAUAACCUGCCGAAAGGCAGACUAAUACCGCAUAGUCUUCGAUGACGGCAUCAGAUUUGAAGUAAAGAUUUAUCGGUAAUGGAUGGGGAUGCGUCUGAUUAGCUUGUUGGCGGGGUAACGGCCCACCAAGGCGACGAUCAGUAGGGGUUCUGAGAGGAAGGUCCCCCACAUUGGAACUGAGACACGGUCCAAACUCCUACGGGAGGCAGCAGUGAGGAAUAUUGGUCAAUGGGCGCGAGCCUGAACCAGCCAAGUAGCGUGCAGGAUGACGGCCCUAUGGGUUGUAAACUGCUUUUGUAUGGGGAUAAAGUCAAUCACGUGUGAUUGUUUGCAGGUACCAUACGAAUAAGGACCGGCUAAUUCCGUGCCAGCAGCCGCGGUAAUACGGAAGGUCCGGGCGUUAUCCGGAUUUAUUGGGUUUAAAGGGAGCGUAGGCCGGAGAUUAAGUGUGUUGUGAAAUGUAGACGCUCAACGUCUGACUUGCAGCGCAUACUGGUUUCCUUGAGUACGCACAACGUUGGCGGAAUUCGUCGUGUAGCGGUGAAAUGCUUAGAUAUGACGAAGAACUCCGAUUGCGAAGGCAGCUGACGGGAGCGCAACUGACGCUUAAGCUCGAAGGUGCGGGUAUCGAACAGG